UACGUAGGGGGCUAGCGUUGUCCGGAUUUAUUGGGCGUAAAGGGCUCGUAGGCGGUCUGUCGCGUCGGGAGUGAAAACUUACAGCUUAACUGUGAGCGUGCUUCCGAUACGGGCAGACUUGAGGUAUUCAGGGGAGAACGGAAUUCCUGGUGUAGCGGUGAAAUGCGCAGAUAUCAGGAGGAACACCGGUGGCGAAGGCGGUUCUCUGGGAAUAUCCUGACGCUGAGGAGCGAAAGUGUGGGGAGCGAACAGG
rnacentral:rRNA from 1 species